CCAUGACAAUCACUUGACCACCGUUGCUAUUGGAUACUCCACUCUGAUUGGUCGGUUUCUCGCUAGAGGUGUGUUCAGUGGCAGUCUUGGCCAGCAUCCACAAGUGAUACGUGUCAGAGGACCAACACUGAACAAAGAGAGUGCAGUGGGGGUUAAGCGGGGAGGGUGUGCCGGGCUGGUCGCCAUGGGAACAAAGGAGUAGAGACCCGAACACCGUCCAUAGUGAGAGGCCUCCGUUGCUCCAGGCCACGCCCACCACCAUCCCAUCUCCCACACUCCACUCCACACACACCACACUCCCCAGCUGGAGUCCCGUCUCUGUCGUGGGCAAGAAGAAAUGUAUAAUUAUACAUGUACAUGUACCACAUAUGUGACUUUAUGUGUGACUUUAUAUGAG